CCUGCCAUGAAAUAAAUUCAGGCCCUUAUAUAAGCAGUCAGAGCCUGAGCUGAAGCUGUGAGUCAACAUCUUGACAACAAUGGGGAAAGAACCUGCUCUGUCUGAAGCAAACUGAGGACAAGGAAUUUGGCUUCAAGGAGACAAAUGGGAGACUAGGACUUACUGCAGAGGUUCUGGACCUGAGUCACGUGCAAGACACUGAAUCAACCCACUGCAGACAGGCAGCCACCUGUUUCCACACUACAAAGACACAGAGGAUACCAGACGACCAGACCAAGGUACUGAGUCCAACUAUUCCCAGCCCAGAGGUAGGGGCUUCUGAGCCAUCGACCCACUGCUCAUGGUCCAGAGGAUGGGGCUUCCCGGUAACCAUCCCUCCCACUGCUCCCAGCCCACAGGAAAGGGAUUUUGGGUCACCUUCUGUCCCACUGCUACUGGUCCAGAGGAAGGGGCUUCCAGGCCAGCAUCGCUCCUACGGCUCCUGGCCCAGAG
rnacentral:lncRNA from 1 species